AUUGAACGCUGGCGGCAGGCCUAACACAUGCAAGUCGAACGAGUGGCGGACGUGUGAGUAAUUUCUGGGAAACUGCCCGAUGGAGGGGGAUAACUACUGGAAACGGUAGCUAAUACCACAUACCCUCCGAUGUGCCCAGAUGGGAUUAGCUAGUAGGUGGGGUAACGGCUCACCUAGGCGACGAUCCCUAGCUGGUCUAGGAGGAUCACCAGCCAAGCGGGAACUGAGACACGGGCAAGACUCCUACGGGAGGCAGCGGUGGGGAAUAUUGAACAAUGGGCGCAAGGCUGAUGCAGCCAUGCUGCGUAUAUGAAGAAGGCCUUCGGGUUGUAAAGUACUUUCAGCGAGGAGGCGUUACUCGCAGAAGAAGCACCGGCUAACUCCGUGCCAGCAGCCGCGGUAAUAC
rnacentral:rRNA from 1 species